UACGUAGGGUGCGAGUGUUAAUCGGAAUUACUGGGCGUAAAGCGUGCGCAGGCGGUUCGUGAUGUCUGAUGUGAAAGCCCCGGGCUCAACCUGGGAAUUGCAUUGGAAACUAGCGGGCUGGAGUGUGGCAGAGGGGGGGUGGAAUUCCACGUGUAGCAGUGAAAUGCGUAGAGAUGUGGAGGAACACCGAUGGCGAAGGCAGCCCCCUGGGCUAACACUGACGCUCAUGCACGAAAGCGUGGGGAGCAAACAGG
rnacentral:rRNA from 1 species